rnacentral:rRNA from 1 species
UCCCGUAGGGGAAACCCUGCGGAAGGAUCAUUAGUGAAUAUUAGCGCAUCUACUUGUAGAGCGUGACCUCCACUUUCUAACUCUGUGCAUUUAUUGGCGGAAGGACUUGAGCAAUUGAGUUUCCUUCUGCGGCUCAUUUUAAAACACUAGUUAAAGUAUGUAACGAAAUAUCGAAACAAAAAAAACUUUCAACAACGGAUCUCUUGGCUUGCUCAUCGAUGAAGAACGCAGCGAAAUGUGAUAAGUAAUGUGAAUUGCAGAAUUCAGUGAAUCAUCGAAUCUUUGAACGCACCUUGCGCUCUCUGGUAUUCCGGAGAGCAUGUCUGUUUGAGUGUCAUGAACUCUUCAACCCACCAGUUUCUUGUAGACUGAAUGGUGUUUGGUUUUUGAGCGUUGCUGGUCUUCGGAUCUAGCUCGUUCGUAAUAUAUUAGCAUCUCUAAUUCGAACUCGGAUUGACUCAGUGUAAUAGACUAUUCGCUGAGGACACGCUCUUGUAGUGUGGCCGAAUGAGAUCUCAGUAGAAGCUUCCAACUACUUUAGUCAACUUUAGAUUAGACCUCAGAUCAGGCAGGAUUACCCGCUGAACUUAAGCAUAUCAAUAAGCGGAGGA